GGUAAUCCCGCAACGAGCGCAACCCUCGACCUUAGUUGCCAGCAUUCGGUUGGGCACUCUAGAGGGACUGCCGGCGACAAGUCGGAGGAAGGUGGGGAUGACGUCAAAUCAUCAUGCCCCUUAUGACCUGGGCUACACACGUGCUACAAUGGGCGGUACAAAGGGCUGCGAACCCGCGAGGGGGAGCGAAUCCCAAAAAGCCGCUCUCAGUUCGGAUUGCAGGCUGCAACUCGCCUGCAUGAAGCCGGAAUCGCUAGUAAUCGCGGAUCAGCAUGCCGCGGUGAAUACGUUCCCGGGCCUU
rnacentral:rRNA from 1 species